CCUACGGGUGGCUGCAGUGGGGAAUAUUGCGCAAUGGGCGCAACCCUGACGCAGCAACGCCGCGUGAUUGAAGAAGGCCUUCGGGUCGUAAAGAUCUUUAAUCGGGGACGAAUUUUGACGGUACCCGAAGAAUAAGCUCCGGCUAACUACGUGCCAGCAGCCGCGGUAAUACGUAGGAAGCAAGCGUUAUCCGGAUGUACUGGGUGUAAAGGGCGUGUAGGCGGGCAUGCAAGCCAGAAGUGAAAUUUGGGGGCUUAACCCUCAAACUGCGUUUGGAACUGGGUGUCUUGAGUGAUGGAGAGGCAGGCGGAAUGCCCGGUGUAGCGGUGAAAUGCGUAGAUAUUGGGAGGAACACCAGUGGCGAAGGCGGCCUGCUGGACAUUAACUGACGCUGAGGCGCGAAAGCGUGGGGAGCAAACAGGAUUAGAUACCCCAGUAGUC
rnacentral:rRNA from 1 species